GGCUAACAAUGGAACCUACCUCCGAGGGCUGUUAUAAGAAUUAAAUAACUGGUUGGGCGUGGUGGCUCGCACCUAUAAUCCCAGCACUUUGGGAGGCUGAGACGGGAGGAUUGCUUGAGCCCAAGAAUUCGAGACUGGCCUGGGCAAUAUAGCAAGACUCCAUCUCUACAGAAAAAAAUAUUAAAAAUUAGCUGGGUAUGGUAGCAUGCGCCUACAGUCCCAGCUACUUGGGAGGCUGAGAUGGGAGGAUCGCUUAAGCCCAGAAGUUUGAGACCAGCCUGGGCAACAUAGCAAGACCCCAUCUCUACAUAAACAUAUAACAAAUUAGCUGAGCAUGGUGGUGCCCCCACGUCUGUAGACGUGGUUGAUCUACGAGCAACCUGUAGAUCCCAGUGGCUUAAUGCACUAAAGGCUACUUUCUCACUCACAUCACACUGCUGCACCUGGGAACCAGACUCCAGCUAUAUUGUGGCUUCACCUUCUUCCAGUGACUCAGAGGCCCCACAAGACCCUCUUUGUCCAGCCAGAAGAUGCAAAGGAAGAAUUAGAAGGUGCAGGUGGGAGGUGUUAAAAGCCUGAAUGUAGCACACCUCGCUUCCAUUCACAUCCCACAGAAGCAGAUAAUGAUAAAGGUUAGGAAAUAGGUUUGGAGUCUGGGAAACAUGGGGAGACCCCAUAUUAACAAAGAAAAAAAAUUUUUUUUAAUUAGCUGGUUAAUGGUGGCGCAAGCCUGUUGUCCCAGCUACUCAGGAGGCCAAGGUGGGAGUGAGGUAGGAGGCUGGAAGGGACUCUAGAGGUGAAGUUCAGACACUGGACCAAAUUCAUGGCCAGGUUUGGUGGUGUGUGCCUGUGGUGCCAGUUACUUGCGAGACUGAGGUGGGAGGAUCACCUGAGCCCCGGGGAGGUUGAGGUUGCAGUGAGUCAUGAUCACACCACUGCACUCCAGCCAGGAAGACAGAGUGAGACCCUGUCUCAAAAAAUAGGUGGGGAGAGGGGGCAGUGGUUAGACUGUAAAUAUUAUGCCUACUUUACUUCAAUUUUUAAAAAUUGUUUGAAGCCACACACAAAAGUCUUAUUUAGUGAAAUCAUGUAUUGUAUGAUUUCAUUUAUAUGAAAUGUCCCAAAUGGGCAAAUUCAUAGGAAGUAAGUAAAUACUUGCCAGGAAAUAGGAGAGGAAAUGGGGAGCAGGGCCAGUGAUUCUGGGGCUUCUUUCUGGGGUGAUGAAAAUGUUCUGGAAUUAAAUAGUGGUGAUGGCUGUACAGCCUUGUGAAUACUAUACUAAAACCCACUAAAUUCUGCACUUAUUUAAAAGGGUGAAUUUAUGGUGUAUAACUUAUAUCUCAAUAAAAAUUAAUAAAAAGGAGUGGUAUGAGGAAUUGGGAAAAUACACACACACACACACACACACACACACACACACACAUAUAUGUGCCUUAACUCUAAUCAGUUCCCUUUGUCCUUUCUGAAACAAAGUUAUACCCAACUGAUAGUAUAAGGUGUCCAGUCCAGAUCUCUCUUUCUCUCUCUCUCUCUCUAUAUACAUAUGUAUCUGUAUCUUUCCAGAAAAAUAUGCAAAAUGGCUUGGUGAAUUUUCUUUUUGAUUUUAACACUUAACUUUUUUUGGCCAGUCGUGGUGACUCACACCUGUAAUCCCAGCACUUUGGGAGGCCGAGGUGGGUGGAUCACUGUAACCCAGGAAUUUAAGACCAGCCUGGGCAACGUAUCAAGACCCCUUCUUUACAAAAAAUACAAAAAUUAGCCAGGCUUGGUGGCACGUACCUGUAGUUCCACCUACUUGAGAAGCUGAGGCAGGAGGAUCACUUGAGCCUGGGAAGCAGAGGUUGCAGUGAGCCAAGAUUGCACCACUGCAC
rnacentral:lncRNA from 1 species